AUGGAAGCCGGAGGAGGCUUGGAGGCGGAGCAGGUGAUGAGCGAGGUGCACCUGGGAUGCCCGCCCCGCUUCCCGGGCCUCUACCUCUCCCGCUUCACCUUCUCCUCCCGUCCGCUAGAGCCACCCGGAGGCGACGACGGCGAGCGUAGCAGCGGGCGCGAGCUGGUCACAUCAACGAGCAGUUCCUGCGAGCGAGCGAGUGGCUCGCCUGACGCCGUCGCUGUCGCCGUGGACGACGACGGGGAUCUCGUUCUCGACCGGAGAAGAAGGAUUGGAGACAGAAGAAGAAGAAGCGAGGAUCUCGUGCUCACCGUGCAGCACGGCGUCACCUCGUCGCUGCGGAGCGUCGGGCUUCAGGUUUGGAAGGCGGCGAUGCUGCUAACCGACUUUGUGUUGCACAAGAGCUUCACGUCGUCUGAAUUCGACGGUGUUACUGCCAUGGAGAUCGGUGCUGGGACAGGUUUGGUAGGGUUGGCGCACGCUCGAGUUGCUAGAAGAAUUUUCAUUACAGAUAGAGGCACUGAUAUCCUCGAUAAUUGCUUGGCUAAUGUCCGUCUCAACUCUAGCAUGCUAAAGUUUGAUGAAGCAAAAGUCCUUGUACGGGAACUGGACUGGAAAUUGUCGUGGCCUCCGCCCGUGGGUACACGUGAUGCAUCUGAUCCAAGUUCGAUAUACUUAUGGUCUGCAAGUGAAAUCAAGGAGGCUGAGCAAGCCACACUGCUAUUUGCUGCAGAUGUUAUUUACAGUGACGAUCUCACUGAUUUGUUCUUCGACACAGUGAGGCAGCUUAUGUCAUCUGGUGCCAAGAAGGUGAUGUACUUGACCCUGGAGAAGAGGUACAACUUCAGCCUGGACGAACUAGGCGUCGUGGCCAAUGGUUACAAGCAUUUCCGAAGCUUCUUCACGGUUCUAGAUGGAUGUGGAGGCCAGGACAAUGCUACACUGAAACCAGGCCUCGUGGGGGAGCAGAUAGACCUUGCGAUGGUUCCUCAGUACAUCAGGGAAUAUGACAGAGGCAAGGAUCUGGAGAUGUGGAAGCUCAUGUAUUGGCCAGACUAA
rnacentral:rRNA from 1 species